UACGAAGGGUGCAAACGUUGCUCGGAAUUAUUGGGCGUAAAGCGCACGUAGGCGGCAUUGCAAGUCGGAUGUGAAAUCCCUCGGCUUAACCAAGGAAGUGCAUCCGAAACUGCAGUGCUUGAGUACUUAAGAGGAUCGCGGAAUUCCCGGUGUAGAGGUGAAAUUCGUAGAUAUCGGGAGGAACACCGGUGGCGAAGGCGGCGACCUGGGUAGAUACUGACGCUGAGGUGCGAAAGCGUGGGGAGCAAACAGG
rnacentral:rRNA from 1 species